rnacentral:sRNA from 1 species
CUCCGGGGGCAGGGAGGUUCGACUCGAGCGAAGCGAGAGAACGUUGCGCCAGCAACGGCCCGCAGGGCGAGCCACGAAGUGGCGAGUAAUCCUCUGGCACCGACCA